CAACAACCCCAUCAGAAACCAGACCACACAUCUGGACUUCAGCACACUUUGUCCAGAUCAAGGCGUACCCUUAUUGUACAUGAUCUCUGCUGCUGGAUCUCUGUUGAUUGUGGCUGCGGUCGUGACGUGCUGCAUCUGCAAGAAAUGUAGAAAAAAAGCUGACAACCGAAAUGAAGACAGA